rnacentral:rRNA from 1 species
AACGAACGCUGGCGGCAGGCCUAACACAUGCAAGUCGAGCGGGCGUAGCAAUACGUCAGUGGCGCACGGGUGAGUAACGCGUGGGUACCUGUCUGAUGGUAGGGGAUAACCGCGGGAAACUGCGGCUAAUACCCUAUGUGUCCUUCGGGACAAAGAUUUAUCGCCAUCAGGUGGGCCCGCGUAGGAUUAGCUAGUUGGUGAGGUAACGGCUGACCAAGGCGACGAUCCUUAGCUGGUCUGAGAGGACGAUCAGCCACACUGGGACUGAGACACGGCCCAGACUCCUACGGGAGGCAGCAGUGGGGAAUAUUGGACAAUGUGGGCAACCCUGAUCCAGCCAUGCCGCGUGAGUGAUGAAGGCCUUCGGGUUGUAAAGCUCUUUUGGCGGGGACGAUGAUGACGGUACCCGCAGAAUAAGCUCCGGCUAACUUCGUGCCAGCCGCCGCCGUAA